rnacentral:rRNA from 1 species
UGGGGAAUUUUGGACAAUGGGCGAAAGCCUGAUCCAGCAAUGCUGCGUGUGUGAAGAAGGCCUUCGGGUUGUAAAGCACUUUUGUCCGGAAAGAAAUCCUUGGCUCUAAUACAGUCGGGGGAUGACGGUACCGGAAGAAUAAGCACCGGCUAACUACGUGCCAGCAGCCGCGGUAAUACGUAGGGUGCAAGCGUUAAUCGGAAUUACUGGGCGUAAAGCGUGCGCAGGCGGUUUGCUAAGACCGAUGUGAAAUCCCCGGGCUCAACCCGGGAACUGCAUUGGUGACUGGCAGGCUAGAGUAUGGCAGAGGGGGGUAGAAUUCCACGUGUAGCAGUGAAAUGCGUAGAGAUGUGGAGGAAUACCGAUGGCGAAGGCAGCCCCCUGGGCCAAUACUGACGCUCAUGCACGAAAGCGUGGGGAGCAAACAGGAUUAGAUACCCUGGUAGUCCACGCCCUAAACGAUGUCAACUAGUUGUUGGGGAUUCAUUUUCCCUUAGUAACGUAGCUAACGCGUGAAGUUGGACCGCCUGGGGAGUACGGUCGCAAGAUUAAAA